rnacentral:rRNA from 1 species
CGCAAUGGGCGAAAGCCUGACGGAGCAAUACCGCGUGAGGGAAGACUGCCUAUGGGUUGUAAACCUCUUUUUUCAGGGAGGAAUAAAAUGACGUGUACCUGAAGAAUAAGCAUCGGCUAACUCCGUGCCAGCAGCCGCGGUAAGACGGAGGAUGCAAGUGUUAUCCGGAAUCACUGGGCGUAAAGCGUCUGUAGGUGGUUUAAUAAGUCAACUGUUAAAUCUUGAGGCUUAACUUCAAAAUCGCAGUCGAAACUAUUAGACUAGAGUAUAGUAGAGGUAAAGGGAAUUUCCAGUGGAGCGGUGAAAUGCGUAGAUAUUGGAAAGAACACCGAUGGCGAAAGCACUUUACUGGGCUAUUACUAACACUCAGAGACGAAAGCUAGGGUAGCAAAUGGGAUUAGAUACCCCAGUAGUCCUAGCCGUAAACGAUGGAUACUAGAUGUUGAACAGAUCGACCUGUGCAGUAUCAAGCUAACGCGUUAAGUAUCCCGCCUGGGAAGUAUGCUCGCAA